rnacentral:misc_RNA from 1 species
AACCUAGCACACCUGCGGUGUGUACCUGCGGAGGGAUCAUUAACGAAUGGUCUCCGUACCUUCAAACACCUCAAACCAGUGGACAUUUGAAACGUGCUUCGGCGCUCUUGCGCCGUCAUUAUGCCGUAAAUAUGUCUUUUGUCUGAACUUGAAUGAAAACAAUCAAAACUUUUAACAAUGGAUCU